CUCGUCGCAGGUGUCACGGCCCUGGCCCGAGGUUCCUCCGCGGGCGGUUUCCCUGGGAACCAGCGCGAGCCGGAGCUGCGCUCUGUUUCGUCGGGCCCGCGCUCUGUUUCGUCGGGCCCGCGCUCUGUUUCGCCGGGCCCGAGAGGCGGCCUCAGGUUAACUUCAAGCAUGUUGGGCUCUCCAGGAGGGAGAAGAGGCACCUUUGCCGUGGGUUGAGGACUCCUAGAACCAACCUGAGACUCCGCGGCCAUAUACACCUUACGACGUGUGUGUGUGUGGCGGGAGAUGGGAGGGGAGGAAUCCUGUAGAACCCAGAUCCCAUCAUUCCAGCAACUGCCAGAGCGUUCGAGAAUGUCAUGUCUGUACCUGUCUUCUCUCAUCUUUUGUGCCAACUGUUUUAUCAAACUUCUACCCCACUUUAGGUCUUCCAGUAGAUACCUGAAACCCUGAACUACAAUAUAUGUGAAAUACAGUGAAUGGCAGAAAUACUUUGAUAAAAGAUGUAAAUGCCUACCGACUGCAGAAGACAACAUCAACAAAGCACACUUCACAAAAAGUACAACACAAAUAUACUGCCCAGGUUCUAAAACAUGUAUAAGAGUUAACAAAAUCAGCUGAGGUUGAGCAGAAAUUGUAUAGGAAAAAAUAGGAAAAACACAGAGACCAAUCUCAGCUGCAAGAAGGUUCAGCUAGACACUGCAAGCAAAAGUAUAACUCCUGAAGAUACAGGAAAAGACCUUAACUGAGGGAUGGUUUCCUGCUGUGUCCUCGGAACCCCAGGGCCUGGUUCAUAGAGACAAGUAAGCAGUGACUGAAGAAAGUUGCAAAUGUGAAGACCUAGAAUUUACCAGUGAAUGACAAUUUGAAUGUGAGAAGCUUAGAAAAAGAGAAGAUGGUGGUCAGCAAGGGAAGAAGAAAAAUAAAAACAUGUGAAAAAAUGAGAGGAAUGGAUAUAGGCAGAGGACCAAAUGGCAUCAAACUCACAGCAAAUAGGCUAGAUUCACCUAUUUCAAAAGGAAAUUCUUUCUAGCAUAAAGAAAAGACAAAUAUUUAAGGUGAUGAAUAUCUCAACUACACUAAUUUGAUCUUUGACUCAAAUUAUAUGAAUGUAUUAAAUUAUUACCUAUACCCUGAAACUAUGCGCAUCUAUUAUGCAUCAAUAAAUAAUUAUUUAAAAAAAUAGAAAUGCUAGAACCGAAAAACUCAAUAAAGAAAUUAAAAAAGAAAAUCAAGCUACUGAAGAGAUCCCUGGGCUGUGAUGGAAACAAAUAAAAUGGCUUAUUUCUAAGGGCACUCAACUAUUGAGUAAGUCUGAGCCGAAAGGUAUAAAGUACCUUUGGCAAAUAAUAAUAAUAAUAACCACAAAAAUAAGCUUCUUAGAUAGCCUAUUGCUUUGUGGUUAUAAUAAUUAUACACUCCACUGGAUAGCAAGCAAUCUACUUAUCUACACGUGUAAGUUUGACUUGAAGUUUCUUCUAUUUUUCAUCUGCUGGAGUAACUCAAUUACUAGGCCAUCUGUAUUUGCAAAUCUGCAAAGUGAAUGUUGUCAUCCAGUAGCCUUGCCACAUGUGUCCUGAGUACUUUUUACAUUCUUUAGCUUCCUUGAUUCACUUCAGCCACCCUAGAAAUUACUGAGUUUCAAAUUAGAUUAAGUCUCCCUGAGAAGUGAAAUAAAUAUUGGAUGGAGAGAAGGAAAGAAGAUUCAGAUGGGUGGGGAUGAAGAAUGAGCCGUGUGAAGGAAGCAUGUUUGCUAAUAAACCUCACGGAGGAUGACCUGAGUACACAAUGCGGUUUCAUACUUUUAUCUUAAUGCUGCUCAUUAUAGCCAACUAUAAUCUCUGCCUGCCUGACAAUGGUUUGUGUAUAUGUCUGUUCGCCCACCUAGACCUGGAAUUCCCUGAAAGCAGAACCUAGUCUUCAUCUGCGUAUCCCCAGCUCCUAGAAUCAGGACUGGCACAAAGCUGUUACUCAGUAUCUUUUUGUUGAAUGAAGGAAGCAAAGACUCAAAUACAUUUUUUCAUUUUUUUCACCUUAUGAAACUUUUGGCCUCAUAAAACUUUUUGACUUAUGAAACUUUCUUAAGGGCUAUGAAGUAAGGUUGAAUGCAUUGCUUUGUGUUCAAAAUCCCUUCAGCCCCUGUGGUAGUCAAUGGAAAUUUAUAUAAUCUGAUUACUUAUUAUAUCACCAAACCUCCAGAGUUGGGCACAGACUGGAGGGUGAACCCACCAACUAAAAGAGGCAGAGGGACACAUGAGUGUUCACACAAGUGAUAAAUUAACAUAAACUACUUUAAAGGUUAUUUAAAAUUUACAUGUCUUGGAGUUAACCCUAAAGUAGCAGUUCUUAAUUUAGGGCUCAUGGAUCUUUAGCAAGUCCAAGGAUGAAUUUUAGGGGGCAUAUUUAUGAACCACAAAAACAAACAUCAAAGACAAAAUGAGUUAUACAAAGACAUGUGUUUUGGAAGGGAGGUGAUCUACAGCUGUCAUUAGAUUAUUGAAGGAGCCUAUGAUCCAAAAAUAAUAUAAUUCAUAACUUCAAACAGAUAUUUUCAGAGUAUGACAAGAAAUAUGCACAAGGAUGUUCAUCAUGGCAUAGAGAGAGUGGAAAAUUGGAAGUAAUCCAAAUGGAUUUCAAUAAAGGAGUGUUGAGCACAUAAAUAAAACAUAUAUGAUAUGCUGCAUACGGAUUACACAUUGUUGAGGGAAAGGGCAGGUUAUUGCACAGCAUGUGUGGUAUGGUCUUAUUUAUGGAAUUAAUAUACAUGUGUAUCUAGGCAGAGAAUGUGUCUAGGCAUAGAAAGACAGUCACCAAAUGUUAACAGUUAUUGUUGAUUGGUCGAAUUUGGGAUGUUUUUGUCCUUCCUUUUUAUACUCCCUAAUUUGUUUGCAUUUUUAGUGAGCAUGUUGUCAUUUUAACAAAAUAAUAGUAUUUUCAAGAAUUGGAGGGACAAUUAUAGAGAAAUGUAAGGAAGGCAGAGUCAUAAUUGGCAAGUAAAAGAAACUUGAAAAUUAUUAACCUUAAGGUGAGCACCAAGGAGACCACUGCUGCUCUCCGAAUAGACAACAGAGUGGGACGAGUGAUACAUAAGCCUGACCCAGUGUGGCAAUUGCUGUGUCCUAGUUUAAACAUAUUCAAAGGGAAGUGACAACUGGUCUUGGAAACUCCUGGCUCCAUCUAGUGCAUUGUGAACUGGUUUUUCUGUGAAGACAGAGCACUAUACAAGAAUAAAAUCAUGUGUAUGAGAGGUAGAGAUAAUUACAUAUCAUCACUCCUGGUUGUGCCAGUCAGCCUGGCAUGUGGCACAACCAGUUCCUAGAAGCUGCUCAUCAUCUGAAUCAGAUUAGAAUCUUCUUUCCUCCUAAAUGAACAAAGACCCACUUCCAACCUUAUGUUUGAAAUGUGAAACAUUCAUUUGCGAGAUACAAACCCUUCUCAGAAAGACUAUGUACCGAUGCAUACUUGCCAUGAGUAAAUGCUGCCCCUUUCAGUAUUUCUUAAUUGAAGCUGUCUGGUGUACUGUAAGAGGAAUCUGUCUCAAAAGCUAUGCAUUUUCAAAAUGCCCCUUUGUUUGGUGUCUCAAAAUUUUCACACCUUGGGGUAAUGCACUAUAGUCAUAUGUAUGAUAAAUGAAAGGCAUGCUUUUCUUGUGUCAAGUGGGAGAAGGAUGAUUAUGAAAGGGAAAAGCAGAUUAAUUUUAGAAGACAAUAUAAGUAAGGAAGCUGUGGGUCUGGAAAAUAAUUCACUUAAAAUUAUCCAUACCCUAUACCUCCUACAAAUUCCUAAGUAAACCCAGGUGUAUGGAUACCCCAGUUUGAAGACCGUUGCUUUAGUCUGCCUCCAUUCAUUCAUAGAUACAGAAACUAAAGCCCAGGGCAGUGGCCCAUCCAAGACUAGAACCUGUCUUCCAACUUGCAGAUUAAUGGGUUUCAACUCUACCAAACUGCCUUUUAUUGUGUCCUUGAAUAAAUCUUUUCACUUCUUUGAGGAUUUUUUCAUCUACAAAAUGAGAGGGGUGGAGUAGAUCAUCUUCACGCUGGAUACCUUACCUUUAUUUCUCCAGAUGUACUCUCCAGUCUUCUCCACCCUGCUCUGGGCACUAGAAGUAGAUAUGUUUAAACUGUAUCAAUGGGCUCCCUCCCCCUGUGGCUUCUGAUUGGGUUCAGUCAAUGGGAGGCCCUGGCAAGAGCUCAGAAGGCAGAAAGGAAGUAAAAUUAGACGAUUUAUUUACCUGCUCCAGCUGCUUGGUUGCUGUGGGUUGCUUGCAUCCUGCCCCUGAAAGCCAUGAAUACUGUCCAGUAUUCUUUUCAUUCAGCUAAUCUCUCUGAGUUCCAGUAACUUCUCCCUCCCCUCUGUCGUUCAGGCAUAGGAGUGACAACACUUUCCCAGAAAAUUCCAUCCCGCUGGAUCCACCCUGAAUCCUCCACCACCUACUGCCCCACCAUUUCCCUGUUGGGAUUGAAUCUUGUCUCUAGGAAGGGAAAGGGCCAGGGGCAACUCAAUGUUCUCCAUUUCCUUCCUUAAUCCCAUUAAAGUGUUCUGAAAGGAAAAGUAAAUGAUGUCACUCUAAACAUAUUUUUAAAAUCUGGGCCCAGUUAAAAAUCAAAAUAAGUAAAAUAAACAAAAAAAGUUUAAGUGAAAAAGGCUUUUUUAUGUUUUUAAUUUUUUAUUUUGAAAAAUUUUAGAAGUUGCAGAGCAAUACAGAGAUCCCA
rnacentral:lncRNA from 10 species